GAUGAACGCUGGCGGCGUGCCUAAUACAUGCAAGUCGAGCGAACGGACGAGAAGCUUGCUUCUCUGAUGUUAGCGGCGGACGGGUGAGUAACACGUGGAUAACCUACCUAUAAGACUGGGAUAACUUCGGGAAACCGGAGCUAAUACCGGAUGAUAUUUUGAACCGCAUGGUUCAAAAGUGAAAGACGGUCUUGCUGUCACUUAUAGAUGGAUCCGCGCUGCAUUAGCUAGUUGGUAAGGUAACGGCUUACCAAGGCAACGAUGCAUAGCCGACCUGAGAGGGUGAUCGGCCACACUGGAACUGGGACACGGUCCAGACUCCUACGGGAGGCAGCAGUAGGGAAUCUUCCGCAAUGGGCGAAAGCCUGACGGAGCAACGCCGCGUGAGUGAUGAAGGUCUUCGGAUCGUAAAACUCUGUUAUUAGGGAAGAACACAUGUGUAAGUAACUGUGCACAUCUUGACGGUACCUAAUCAGAAAGCCACGGCUAACUACGUG
rnacentral:rRNA from 1 species